rnacentral:tmRNA from 1 species
GGGGAUGAAGGGCUUCGACGGGAGUGAUAAUGAUAUGCAUGCUCAAGCCGAGGAUAAAGAGUCACCUCGCAAAUCAUCUCUUUAACCAAUACGUGCAAACAAACAACCUGCACUUGCUUACGCAUAAACUGCCGUAGGCCGUUCUGUUCCUUGAGGCCUCAUAGGGGAACAAGAAUGUCAAUUCAUGAGACUUGGCUGUCCGCUGUUUCGACGGACAGCGACACACAGAAACACGCCGCUUUUCUGUUUCGCCUUGUUUAAGGGAUAGCGGUUACACAAACGAGGCUACGCUUGUAAACCAUCUUAUCGUUCUCUUUCGGACGGGGGUUCAAUUCCCCCCAUCUCCACUG